UACGUAGGAAGCGAGCGUUGUCCGGAAUCACUGGGCGUAAAGCGCGUGUAGGCGGUACGGCAAGUCUGCUGUGAAAGCGCCCGGCUUAACCGGGCGAGGUCGGCGGAAACUGCUGAACUGGAGGACGGUAGAGGGGGGUGGAAUUCCCGGUGUAGUGGUGAAAUGCGUAGAGAUCGGGAGGAACACCUGUGGCGAAGGCGGCCCCCUGGGCCGGCCCUGACGCUGAGACGCGAAGGCGCGGGGAGCGAACGGG
rnacentral:rRNA from 1 species